UACGGAGGGUGCGAGCGUUGCUCGGAAUCACUGGGCGUAAAGCGUACGCAGGCUGUCUCGUAAGUCGGGUGUGAAAGCCCGGGGCUCAACCCCGGAAUUGCGCCCGAGACUGCGGGGCUUGAAUGCGGGAGAGGGAAGCGGAAUUCCCGGUGUAGUGGUGAAAUGCGUAGAUAUCAGGAGGAACACCGGUGGCGAAGGCGGGUCUCUGGGCCGAUACUGACGCUGAGGAGCGAAAGCGUGGGGAGCGAACAGG
rnacentral:rRNA from 1 species